ensembl:lncRNA
AUGAUGAUGCAACCGAUGGUGAAAAGUGGUACAUACCACAUCAUGGCAUCUACCAUCCAAAGAAGCCAGAUAAGCUACGGGUUGUUUUUGACUGCUCCGCGAAAUUCAAAGUUCCACGUCCAAGAAAAGGAUUGUGAUUAUCUGCGCUUUUUAUGGUGGAAAGAUGGGGACCCAAAUUCAGUGCUUCAAGAUUACCGAAUGAAAGUGCAUCUAUUCGGUGCAGUGUCUUCGCCCAGUUGCGCGAACUAUGGAUUAAGAUAUCUAGUCAAUGAGUACAGUCAAUCACAUGCAUUAGGCGCUCAGUUCAUCAUGAGAGAUUUUUAUGUCGAUGAUGGAGUUACAAGUGCAGAGACAAUAGAGAAGGCCAUUCAGUUGACAAAAGAAGCACGGGAGUUAUGUGCAAAGGGAGGGCUUCGGCUUCAUAAGUUUGUAUCAAAUGACGACACUGUUUUGCAGAGCAUACCAGCAUCAGAACGUGCUGUAAACUUUGAAACAAAAGAUCUCACCUUCAUGGACAUGCCGCUUGAGAGAGCACUGGGUAUUCAUUGGAACAUACAGAGUGAUAGCUUUAAAUUUCAUAUCCCACUAAAAGGUCAACCUACAACACGCCGUGGCAUACUGUCAACUGUUGCCUCCAUAUAUGAUCCUUUAGGCUUUGUAGCUCCAUAUGUUCUCAAUGGCAAGAGAAUUCUGCAAGAAAUGUGUCGCCAAGGGACGGGCUGGGAUGAUCCGCUCUCCCCUACACUCAGCCCACGGUGGGAGAGAUGGCAGAAUGACUUUGUCAAUUUGGAAAAAGUGAACAUACCACGAUGUUAUGUACCUCCUGAAUUUGGCGAGGUUUUGAAAACAGAAAUACAUAAUUUCUCUGAUGCAAGUACCUGUGGUUACGGUCAGUGUUCCUAUAUGAGAAUGAUAAAUGAGAAUGAUGAAAUUCAUUGCACUUUUCUCAUUGGCAAAGCCCGGGUUUCUCCUUCAAAGAUUAUUACGAUACCUAGAUUAGAGUUGACGGCAGCUGUGGUAUCAGUCAGAAUGAGCAAUAUACUCAGAGAAGAGCUUAACCUCACCAAUGCCGAUGAAUUCUUUUGGACCGACUCAAAAGUGGUUUUGGGUUACAUAAAUAAUGAUGCCCGCCGUUUUCACACAUUUGUAGCCAAUAGAGUCCAAAAAAUACGUCAAAGCACAGAACCUAAACAAUGGCUGUAUGUCCCAAUGGAUGAGAAUCCAGCAGACAAUGCUUCUAGAGGGAGAACAAUAAAGGAACUUCUCUCAUCUAACUGGUUCUCUGGUCCCUCAUUCUUGUGGGAAAAGGAAAUAACGACCACAGAUAUUGUGCCAGAUCUCCCCGUAGGAGAUCCAGAAGUAAAGAAAAUUCAGACAUUGCAAACAAGGACCACAGAAAGUAAAGAUCUUGUAGACCGUUUGUCUAAGUUUUCGUCUUGGUCUAAAACCAUCAAAGCCAUCGCACGCCUUCUGAGAUGGAUUAAGAGGGAUAAAACAAAUUUAUCGGCUUCUGUAAAUGAACAGGAGGAUGCUAAAUGUUUGAUUCUAAAAGGAGUACAAAGGCAAAUGUAUCAAAAAGAGAUCGAUGUGUUGAGUCGAGGAAAACAACUUCCAAGUCACAGUAAACUUCAUCACUUGGAUGCCUUCAUAGACAAGGAUGGUAUGAUCAAGGUGGGAGGAAGACUAAGUCACUCAUCAUACACUCAUUCAUUUAAGCAUCCACUGAUCCUUCCUAAAGAGCAUCAUGUAACAAAGCUGAUAAUUGCACACUGUCAUGAAAGCGUAAAGCAUCAAGGUAAAGGUUUCACAAUUAAUGAAAUCAGAUCGUGUGGCUAUUGGAUACCUGGAAUAAACAGAGCGGUCACAUCUUACAUUCGCAACUGUGUAACUUGCAGAAGGCUGAGAAGAACUGCUGAAGGACAGAGGAUGAGUGAUCUUCCCUCAGAACGUGUAGCGCCUUCUCCACCUUUUAUGUAUUGCGGUAUGGACUGCUUUGGUCCUUUCACAACUAAAGAAGGAAGAAAAAAUCACAAAAGAUACGGUCUGCUUCUAACAUGCCUGUGUUCAAGAGCUAUUCAUAUAGAAAUGUUAGAAGAUAUGUCCACAGAUGCGUUUAUUAACAGUCUAAGGUGCUUUAUUGCAAUUCGAGGUACAGUACGACAAAUAAGAUGUGACCAAGGUACCAAUUUUGUAGGCGCGAAGAACGAACUGAACUCAGCACUUAAGGAACUUGAUCCCGAAAGGCUCACUACUUUUCUGACAAAUAAACAGUGUGACUUUGUUCUGAAUGCCCCUCAUUCCAGCCAUGCAGGGGGUGUAUGGGAGUGGCAAAUCAAAACUGUACGGAGCAUUCUUAGUGCUACUGUCGCCCUUUCAUCAGGCAGGCUUGAUGAUGCUUCAUUGCGCACCUUGUUUUACGAAGCCAUGGCAGUAGUCAAUAGUCGCCCCCUUACAGUUGACAACCUGAAUGACCCCAAGAGCUUAGAACCGCUCACACCUAAUCAUCUGAUUACCAUGAAAUCCACCACAGCCCUACCACCACCUGGAAAGUUCAUAAGAGAGGAUGUGUAUACAAAAAAGAGAUGGAGACGUGUGCAGUACCUUACUGAACAGUUUUGGAGCAGAUGGAAAAUAGAGUAUCUUCGCAACAUUGCUGCUCGACAAUGCUGGCAUGCUCCAAAAAGGAACUUUCAAAUUGGUGACGUGAUCAUAGACAUUGAUGAAACAUUACCAAGGAGUGAAUGGAGAUUAGGAAGGAUUGUAGAGAUUGUUCUGAGCCCAGAUGGACUGGUAAGAAAGGCCAAAGUAGCACUUGGUGACAAAAGACUAAACAAGAAAGGAGAACGGAUUCAUAAAAUCUCAAUAGUAGAAAGGCCAGCUCAAAAGUUGGUCUUGUUGUUGGAAGCGGAGUAAUUGCCCCCCGAAAAGGCAUAAGGUUUGUGUAUUUGUAUACUGUUAGUUAAAUCAAGUAUUUGUGAAAAUCGCUGAAUAUGUCUAAUAAUGUUAAUGUACAUUUUUGUAUUGCUUGAUUCAGCUCUUACGGUGAUUGCUAGAGUAAAUGGACAAGUAAUAAAACUUCAAAUCAUCAGUAAAGUUUCGGCCAUCAUUCGGACGGGGUCCGCUACACUGUCAGUGAACCUCAGGUUGUCAGGAUCCUACCCUGAUAGUCUUGUCUGUCCUUUCUUUGUUUAAUGUGUUUUUGUUUAUUUUGUGCCUGAGCACAUGGCUGUGUCUUUGUUUGUGUUGGCCAUGUGCUCCUCUUGUCCUGCCUCCUCGUAUAUUGUGCUCACUUCACUCUUGUCUUUGCUGGUUUGUUUUGUGUGUGCCUUGUGUGCAUUCUCCUUGCUUGUGUCUUUAGACAUUCUCCCUCUUCUUUUGUGUUCCCAAUUCUGUUAAUUACUUUGUUCUCCCUGUUCAUUCUGCAUCUGGGUCUUCCCUUGCCAAACCGUGAUGCAGGUGUGAUGUCUGAUAUACUUACAUACCCACAGUUAACAUGGAUAUAUAUUGCACAUGUGUUUAAAUACAGUACAUACAGUACAUGUUGGAAAAUUGGGUCACAGUGGCUACUGGUAAUGUCAACACAGUAGACAUUAUAUGCUUCAAUGUCUUCUUGCAUUAAAAAUAUGAAUAAUACAGUUUUCUCUUUUAUGAAAUUGCAUUUGUAUGUGCAUUCAUUUUGCACGUGUGUCUAUACUUUGCCCUUGAUUUCCUAGACCUUUGAGGACAAAAGUAAUAGGUGUGCAUAUGUGUGUGCGUUAGUUUUGUAUUGCGUGAGAAUAUGUGUGUGUGUAAACUGGGCACCGUUCUAGGCUCUAAGUGACAGCACCCUCCCUUGUUGGUGCAUCUCUGUCUCAAAGACUAAUGGCACGAGGAGAAUCAAUUACCACCCCACGCUGGUGCGAUGGCAGUUGGGGGGAGUGAGGGGAGGCGGGGGUCUGUGACAGGUGUAACAUACUACACACAGUCCUCGCUGCCUGCACACACACCGCUGCUAGUCCCAUUUCAGACGUACUGGCCUAGAAGUAGCACCUCAGUGGAUGUUUCGCAAUUAAGAGCCAAAGAAAUGUCUGGCAGUUCUACCCAGGUGUAUUUGAUGGGGUAUUUCUGGAAGGUUUGCCCUUGAGAGGAAGAGAGAGUGCACACUUCCAAAUACACUUACACACCUGAAAUUCAAACAUGUCCCUCCUCGUUCCGAAGUGGUUCCGUCAUCAAGCUUGUGGGACACCAUUCGCCUCAAAGGGCAUUCCAGACGAACCAGAGGUUACAGAAGACACACCCUUGCAUCUAACAAGAGAAUCUUGGAUGAGCAAAGUAUUUUUUAUUUUACAAUAAAAAUCAAGAAAACAUCAGUUAUUUGACUGAAUUGUUCAUGCACAUGUGUUCUAAAGCUGUGCAAACCUAAAGGUGACAAUGACAAUGAAAUUGCCAAAGAUGUGUAAGUAAAAUAAAAAAAAAAAAAAAUAAAUAAAUAAAAUGCCAUUUGCAAAGCCUGUUUUCAUGCUGUGACAAAAUAUGUGCACGUGGGUGAGUGUGAGUUAUUUCAAGAUUAUAUGAACAUGCAAACUUGUGAAAUCCUGGCUAUGAAAUUGGCCUUAGCUGAAGAAUGGGCAGACCAUUUUAUGAUGUUUCAGUGUGCAAGAAGUGGCAUAUUAUCAAACAAAGGUGCAUUUACCAAGACUUAUUACAGUUUUUCUCGAUUGCUAACAGACUGUAACUGAUUAAUUUGUCCCAAUUUUCCAAAUCAUUCAUACAGUUCUCGAAACAAAGACAUGUUUCUCAAAACUUUUAACACAUUUCACCUGUUUGCACACACGUUCCAAUUUGCUCAGUGUUUUCUGCAAAAAUCUAAACAAAAACGCCAUCAUUUUGCACAGGUUUAACCACGUUUUCA